UACGUAGGGUGCAAGCGUUGUCCGGAAUUAUUGGGCGUAAAGGGCUCGUAGGCGGUCCAUCGCGUCGGGAGUGAAAAGCUGGGGCUUAACCCCAGUCCUGCUUCCGAUACGGGUGGACUAGAGGUAGGCAGGGGAGAACGGAAUUCCUGGUGUAGCGGUGAAAUGCGCAGAUAUCAGGAGGAACACCGGUGGCGAAGGCGGGUCUCUGGGCCAAAACUGACGCUGAGGAGCGAAAGCGUGGGGAGCGAACAGG
rnacentral:rRNA from 1 species